rnacentral:tRNA from 1 species
GGGCGAUUAGCUCAGUUGGUUAGAGCGCCGUCUUCACAUGGCGGAAGUCACUGGUUCAAAUCCAGUAUCGCCCACCA